AUUGAACGCUGGCGGCAGGCCUAACACAUGCAAGUCGAACGGUAGCACAGAGAGCUUGCUCUCGGGUGACGAGUGGCGGACGGGUGAGUAAUGUCUGGGAAACUGCCCGAUGGAGGGGGAUAACUACUGGAAACGGUAGCUAAUACCGCAUAACGGUGCAAGACCAAAGUGGGGGACCUUCCGGCCUCACACCAGCGGAUGUGCCCAGAUGGGAUUGGCUAGUAGGUGGGGUAAUGGCCCACCUAGGCGACGAUCCCGAGCUGGUCUGAGAGGAUGGCCAGCCACACUGGAACUGAGACACGGUCCAGACUCCUACGGGAGGCAGCAGUGGGGAAUAUUGCAUAAUGGGCGCAAGCCUGAUGCAGCCAUGCCGCGUGUAUGAAGAAGGCCUUCGGGUUGUAAAGUACUUUCAGCGGGGAGGAAGGCGGUGAAGUUAAUAGCUUCACCGAUUGACGUUACCCGCAGAAGAAGCACCGGCUAACUCCGUGCCAGCAGCCGCAGUAA
rnacentral:rRNA from 1 species